AUCAAGCUGAUGAGUCCCAAAUAGGACAAAACGCGUGUCCUGGAU
rnacentral:hammerhead_ribozyme from 1 species